rnacentral:rRNA from 1 species
AUGGCACUACCCCUACAUUUUCUUUCAGUACUACCACUGCCAGCAUGGGCUUUGGAAAUUAUCAACAGGAGGUGUAGGGGAUUCAUUUGGAAAGGGGAAAAUGAGAUCAGUGGUGUUCAUUGCCUUCUGCCUUGGGCUGCUAGAGUGUGUAUGCCGAAGGAGCAUGGCGAUCUGGGAAUUUUGAAUUUGAAGUUGUUCGGUGCGGCUCUGCGUUGCCGAUGGCCAUGGCUGCGCUGGGACCCUGAGGAGCAACCAUGGUGGAUGUUGCCGGACGGACAGGAGGGAGAGGUAGCAGCCAUUUUCAGUGCGGCCACGUCCGUGUGCUUGGGGGAUGGAGAGCGGGCCAAGUUCUGGACGGACAAUUGGCUACCGGAGGGUAAUCACAGCUGGGUCCGAGACAUCUCUGGUGGAGUUUCAGUCAUAGCCAUUGCACAAUAUCUCACUGUUUGGGACAUUACUCAGAAUAUCUCAUUGACGCCUGGUGUGCCGGAUUGUCUACUAUGGAAGCUGACCAAGGAUCACCUCUUCUCUGUUAAGAGUGCUUACAACAUGUUCUUUGUUGCCUCUGUGCGCUUCGCCUGCUACAAACCAAUUUGGAUGUCCAAAGCUCCUCCGAGAUGCAAGUUUUUCAUGUGGCCGGUGGUGCAUCGCCGGUGCCUGACAACGGCCAACUUGGAGCGUAGAGGCUGGCCCUCAAACGGCAACUGGCCGCUGUGUCUCGUGACACCGGAGGACUGCACACACCUGUUCGUGCACUGCAGGUUCACGCAGCAGGUUUGGCUCUUGUUCAGAGAUUGGACACGGGCGGAUUUUCAGGAUCGUUUCAUCGGUACAGAAGACUGGUGGCUACAAGUAUGUAAGGCUGUUCCCAAGCCUUUGCGUCGUAACUUUGACACAAUCUCCAUCUUGAUUCACUGGAGGAAUUUGGAAGGGAAGCAAUUCCAGAAUUUUUGA